CGGAGGUACUCGAGUGGCGAACGGGUGAGUAACACGUGGGUGAUCUGCCCUGCACUCUGGGAUAAGCCUGGGAAACUGGGUCUAAUACCGGAUAGGACCGCACUUUAGUGUGUGUGGUGGAAAGUUUUUUCGGUGUAGGAUGAGCCCGCGGCCUAUCAGCUUGUUGGUUGGGUAAUGGCCUACCGAGGCGGCGACGGGUAGCCGGACUGAGAGGUUGGUCGGCCACAUUGGGACUGAGAUACGGCCCAG
rnacentral:rRNA from 1 species